rnacentral:lncRNA from 1 species
AAAUUGAAACAAUAGGUAUACGCAACACUGUUCCUUUAUACGUUACUUCUGAAUAAUAACAAGUAAGUUGCUUCGCUCUAAAUCUCCAAUCAGGAACAAACUAUCGAUUAUCGAUGACGCUUUGAAUAAGUUCACUGACAUAUAAGCCGAUGUCAAUAAACAUUUCUCUUAACUAUCAUUCGAUUACGGGCAUUCUCAUUUAAUCUAUAUUAAUUUCAAAAAAAAAAACCAAUUAUCCUCUGAUACUUUCUUUGUAUACUGCAGGACAUUUCUUUCGAUGAUGACGUCAUUUAAGAAAUCGGAAACUGGUUUCACUCUUCUUUUAUCGCGAAUAGAAUACGAUAAUGCACGCGUGUAGGAGUAGUUUCUUAUACCAGUCCUGUCUUUACCGGUCAACGUAGUCAACCAUAGUGUUGGCCGUAAUUCAAGUCCGAAUAUUUCAUCGCCGGUUGUUUACUUUUUCCGAGAAUUCCUACCAUUCGCGAGGAAACAUUGAGUUUACAUGAGAAUCUCGGAGCGCCACUCAGUUCAAAAAAAGAAUUUUGAUAAAAAAGAAACUAUGAUAACUUGCCGGCAAAGAUAAAACGAAGAAUUCUUGUCUCCUGAUUUGUGUCUUUUGAAUUGAUUUCUUCUGUACGAUUACUGUUUUUUUUUUUUGUUUUCUAUGAAACGUUAACAUGUCACAGAUAAGAAACACGGAUGCAACAUAAUUGAAGAGCGUCACUGAUCUUGUGUAACGAUUAUCGCGGAGAGAUUUGCGAAUCGUGGGCGUUAACUACAUAACUAUUCGUAAGCAUCUGUUACCGUCGCUCGAAGAGAAGAGAAAGUUCGUUGCAAUGAGGUGACAACCUGAUAUUUUUAUCUUGUAACAUUAUAUGUAAUAUUUUAUGGUGAGUACAUCCGUAAUUGGCGAGGAUUACAGUUCCAACUUUCCUUGGAACGUGUUACAUCGUACACAUUAACACGUUAACUAUAAAUUUUUAUGACAUUUUUAGAAGUUCGCAAAUUAUAUACAAAUUUUUCCUAUGAUCGAAAAUCAAUAAUAAUAAUAACGAAAUAAUUGAAAACAUUUUGUAGCAAGUAAAGUCAACCCUGAACCUCGAAACAACUAGAAGAGAUAGAAUGACUCACGCAAAUCAAUAUCCCUCCAAGCAUAUUUAUCGUUUAUAUCCAAGAAAAGCAUGGUAUAGCACAUUUGAUUUGCAGAUAAAUGUAUUUAUCUUUUAGAAUUUUAUCAAUACAGCAUCGUUAAUACACGUUUCGAAGGGAGUUCGUUCGAAUUGGCAUCUCAGUCGGUGCACCCAAAGGGGGAACCACAAGCAAGGGGAAACAUGCAAAAUAUAAAGCCGUAUAAAUUUAAAUGGCACUCGUCCAAACAUGAAGAAAAGAAGAACAAGAAAAAAGUAACAAUAAACAAAAAUGUAAUAUUUAUAAAAUAAACAAAAUGAAGAAAUUGAUUGAUUAUUAGAUCAAUUAUAGACAAAUUAAGAUUCCAGAUAACAAGAAUGUGUUUUUAUAUUAUAUUCCAAUACAAUCCCAUCAAGAGUUCGUGCGAAAGUACAUUAACCUAAAACAAGAUGAACACUCUCCCGUACCUUUGCUUUACUUGUUUACGUAUAAAAGACAGAGAAUACAAGGAAAGAAAGAGAAAAAGGAAGAACAAAACUAUGAGCAUUUUACUGUAGAUAGACGUAAACAGUGAAGAAAUGGUUGGAGGAGCAAGGACUUAACUUGUAUAUAUUUUUUCUAUGGUUAAAAUGUAUCGACACUAUAUAUCAUGGAUUCAAAUUUACAACUAUCACAAUAUU